rnacentral:lncRNA from 1 species
AAAAAGUGUGAAUUUUCAAGGAAAUUAAGUGAAAAAGGUAUGAUUUUUCAAGCUUAGCUUAAGAUUUAUCAUUUCCAUGCAUUUUCCAUCAUUUUUCAUGGUUGAAUCAUGUGAUUUGAGGAUGAAUUCAAUUCUGAAAAAAAUGGGUUAGGAGAGAGAAACUUGUUAGAUUAAUUUGAUUCUAAGUUAUGUUAGUGUUUUAAGUUAGUUUAGCAUAUUUAGGAACAAAACAAUAAGAAAAGAAUUUAUUUUCCUCCACUACCAUUAUUGGCUGAAUUUUUUAGGGGAAUAUUGACUGCUGAUCUUGAUGUUUAUUUGAGAAAUUAUGAUGAAUAAUGAUAAAUUAUGAGCCUAAAAAAAUAAUGGGAAUUUUCGGAGCAAAAAUAUGAAUUUUUACCCACUAGGGGUAUUUUUGUAAUUUUCUAUCGAGACUGAUAAUUUGCACCACACUGAGGAACAUUAAGUCAAUUUAGGUGCAAUUGAGGUAUAGAACUGAAAAAAAAUUAAUUUGAGAUUAAAUUGGACGCGUUAGUAAUUUAAUCGGGUAAUAAGCCGAAUUAGGUCAGCACCGCAUUUAAGCGGUAGUCGGAUAAGUUGCAUGUCAUAUCAUGCAUAUAUACCGAGCCUGAAUUGAUUUUAUAAUGGUCAAGCAUUGAUGUUGUGAAUUAUGUAUUAUACAUUGUGGAUAGGUGGUGAGCAAAUUACACUAGUAAAAGUACAAAAAUUGUGCUUGAAGACUGGGAUUAGGAGUACAUCGACUCCUAGAACAGUGAGUGGACAAUUUAUCGUCUUAAAUAUCUAGAGUAAUUAUACUUGUUUGAUGCUUUUAUUGAAUGGUGAGCUUAAAUUAUAAAAUAUUAUGUUUUCCAAUUCAAAUGUUUUUUUUUUAAUAAAAAUGAGAUUUAUACUGGUUUUGAAAUCAAAUAUUGUUUUGGGAAAAUUGAGUAUAUGGAGACUGUGUUGAAAUUUAUGAUUUUAUAUGUUAUUGAAAUUGUGGCUUAUGACACUAUGGUAGCAUGAUGGCUAAAUUUUUGGGGUUGGCAUGAAAUAUAUGAACAGUUUUGGAUUGGUCUCGGUAGACUGGAUUACAUUUUAUUCGCCAUAUUAUGCUACUGGAAUUUUUAUGGGUCUGGUGGUAUAUUAAACGGUCACUGCAGUGGUGGGGGUUUCCGUGGACUGCCUAUGAGAGGGGCACGGUAACUCAAUUAUAUACUUACCUCCGGGGGGAGAUGUUGGGUGAAGUAUCUCCUGAGGUAUGAUUUGAGUGCACCUCACGUUCGGGCCACCACGUGAGAGUGAGACUCAGCCAACGCCAAGGAACGGCUGUGUGUCAGAUGUGAAAACAUGUUUAUGGGUAUGGGUCAUUGAACAGCCUUGGCGGUCUCAGUGGGAUACCUUGACGAAGGUACCCGCGAGAAUGAUAUUGGCAGGGGCCAAGUUUAAAAAAAUUCAUAAGUCGGGGAAAUUUUGAUGAAAAGAAAUUAUUUGGUAUAGAUUGAAACGAAUUUUGUGUUAUGAACAUUAUUGAGAUAUAACGUUUUUAUAUUGUCUCCAUCUACUCGGCUUUAGAUGCUUUUGAUGGUAAUUGUUUACUCACUGGGAUUAUUUAAUCUCACCCCUCUUCCUAUCCAUUUUUCAGGCUCAGGACAGUUUGUUGAUAGUUGAUUAAGACGAGAAUUAAUCUCGGAGUUGCAUCAUAGGAAGUAAGGGUUCGUAGCUCUACACCUUCUUGGUUAGUUGGGGGCCCA